rnacentral:tRNA from 5 species
GCCCUCGUAUCCCAAUUGGCAGAGGAAACGGAUUCAAAACCCGUACAGUGUGAGUUCGAGUCUCACCGAGGGCACCA